AAAGUAAUUUCUCCGUUUCAUAAUUCUUGUCAAAAUAUUACAUUUAUCUAGACACAUUUUAGGAAUAGAUACAUCCAUUUUUAGUCAAAUUUAAGACAAGAAUUAUGAAACGGAGGAAGUAUAUA
rnacentral:pre_miRNA from 1 species